AUAUUAUUAAUUAUGAUUUCAAUAAUGAAAAAGAUA
rnacentral:sRNA from 1 species